AUACCUUUCUCGGCCUUUUGGCUAAGAUCAAGUGUAGUAUCUGUUCUUAUCAGUUUAAUAUCUGAUAUGUGAGCCAAUGGCUCACACGAUAUUAAAUUAAUUUUUUAGGGGGGAGAGCCCGAUACGGUAGCUUGCUGCCGGGGCUCUCAAGCGUCGCCCAUGCCUGGCACUACUGCACGGGCCUGGCGCACCCUAC
rnacentral:snRNA from 1 species